UACGGAGGGUGCAAGCGUUAUCCGGAUUCACUGGGUUUAAAGGGUGCGUAGGCGGACAGGUAAGUCAGUGGUGAAAUCUCUGGGCUUAACCCAGAAACUGCCGUUGAUACUAUUUGUCUUGAAUAUCCUGGAGGUAGGCGGAAUAUGUCAUGUAGCGGUGAAAUGCUUAGAUAUGACAUAGAACACCGAUAGCGAAGGCAGCUUACUACAGGAUGAUUGACGCUGAGGCACGAAAGCGUGGGGAG
rnacentral:rRNA from 1 species